rnacentral:pre_miRNA from 1 species
UUUGCACUUUAGUUUUGAUACUGUAUGAUGGAAUCCAGUACAAAAUUUUAGUGCGAAGCU